CCUGGCUCCACCCUUGUGAAGUGAAAUCUGCCAGGUGGGGAUCAUAUGACCAUUGCUAUAUAAGAAGCAUGAGGAGAGUUUGAGGUUCAGGUUAUUUAGGGUGCUUUUUCUCUUGUGGUGAAGCCUGUGUUCCCCAGUAAGCUGCUUUCUCUUCAUGUUUUCUACCAUCUCUGUGAAAUGGGUUUAAAGCCUCUAUGAGCUAGCUACGUUGGCAGUGCCUUCUCAGUACAGUAAAACCCUCAUGGUGCGACUUCACUGUGAAGCAGUUUGGCAGUGACUCAAGUUCAGAAGCUGGCAGCAGUCCUUAUGAACUUAGCUUAGGCAUCCUGAACACCUGGCAUAGAAACAACAGAAGUGCUAGUUCAGUGGACUUGGCUGCAUCAGGAUACUUUGAUUUCUUUUUGGCAGGCCUUACCUGGGACCCUCUACCCCACACAACCCUGGACGGCCCCUGAACAAAAGGAAAGCAAGAACAUGUCACAUGAUGCCAUCACACAGCACACUAAUUAUCAUGCAUCCCUAGCAUGUGAAAUAGAAAAGAGAUGGUGAUUUCCUUCAGUGGAAGCAGCAUUCUUUCUCUGGAACCAUGACCUUGUAGCCAUCAGAAACUGUAACUUGAAUAUGUUUUGCAUGUGGCAAACCUAUGUAAAUGGCUCGGAACUAGUUGCUGAAUGCCUCUUAAGAUGUG
rnacentral:lncRNA from 1 species